UACGUAGGGGGCAAGCGUUGUCCGGAUUUAUUGGGCGUAAAGAGCGUGUAGGCGGCUGGGUAGGUCCGUUGUGAAAACUCGAGGCUCAACCUCGAGACGCCGAUGGAAACCCUCCAGCUAGAGUCCGGAAGAGGAGAGUGGAAUUCCUGGUGUAGCGGUGAAAUGCGCAGAUAUCAGGAGGAACACCGGUGGCGAAGGCGGCAUCCUGGACCGGCAUUGACGCUGAGGCGCGAAAGCCAGGGGAGCAAACGGG
rnacentral:rRNA from 1 species